ACGGCUCAGUAACACGUGGACAACCUACCCAAAGGUCUGGGAUAACUCCGGGAAACUGGGGAUAAUACCGGAUAGGUCAAGAGUACUGGAAGGGUUUUUUGAUUGAAAGCUCUGGCGCCUUUGGAUGGGUCUGCGGCUGAUUAGGUUGACGCCGGUGUAAAGUACCGGCGUGCCGAUUAUCAGUACGGGUUGUGGGAGCAAGAGCCCGGAGAUGGAUUCUGAGACACGAAUCCAGGCCCUACGGGGCGCAGCAGGCGCGAAAACUCUACAAUGCAGGCAACUGCGAUAGGGGAACAUCGAGUGGCAUCUACAUUAGGUGUCUGUCCAGCUGUCUAAAAAACGGCUGUUAGCAAGGGCCGGGCAAGACCGGUGCCAGCCGCCGCGGUAAUACCGGCGGCUCGAGUGGUGGCCGAUAUUAUUGAGUCUAAAGGGUCCGUAGCCGGCUUUGCAAGUCUUGUGGGAAAUCCAGCGGCUUAACCGUUGGGCGUCUGCGGGAUACUACAUUGCUUGGGACUGGGAGAGGUAGGAGGUACUUAGGGGGUAGGAGUGAAAUCCUGUAAUCCUCUGGGGACCACCGGUGGCGAAGGCGUCCUACCAGAACAGGUCCGACGGUGAGGGACGAAAGCUAGGGGCACGAACCGGAUUAGAUACCCGGGUAGUCCUAGCCGUAAACGAUGCCCGCUAGGUGUCACGGCAGUCGUGAACUGCCGUGGUGCCGUAGGGAAGCCGUGAAGCGGGCCACUUGGGAUGUACGACCGCAAGGUUGAAACUUAAAGGAAUUGGCGGGGGAGCAC
rnacentral:rRNA from 1 species